rnacentral:rRNA from 1 species
GCACAAGCGGUGGAGCAUGUGGUUUAAUUCGAUGAUACGCGAGGAACCUUACCCGGGCUUGAAAUGCAGACGACGGUAGUGGAAACAUUACUUCCAGCAAUGGCGUCUGUGUAGGUGCUGCAUGGUUGUCGUCAGCUCGUGCCGUGAGGUGUCGGCUUAAGUGCCAUAACGAGCGCAACCCUUAUCGUUAGUUGCCAUCGGGUGAUGCCGGGAACUCUAGCGAGACUGCCACCGUAAGGUGUGAGGAAGGUGGGGAUGACGUCAAAUCAGCACGGCCCUUACGUCCGGGGCGACACACGUGUUACAAUGGGGGGUACAGAGGGUUGCUACCAGGUGACUGGAUGCUAAUCUCUAUAAAGCCUCUCUCAGUUCGGAUCGGAGUCUGCAACUCGACUCCGUGAAGCUGGAUUCGCUAGUAAUCGCGCAUCAGCCAUGGCGCGGUGAAUACGUUCCCGGGC